AGGACGAACGCUGGCGGCGUGCUUAACACAUGCAAGUCGAGGGCACUUAUGCAGCAAUGUGUAAGUGACCGGCGAACGGGUGCGUAACACGUGAGCGACCUUGCCUCGUGGUGGGGGAUAGCCGGCCCAACGGCCGGGUAAUACCGCAUAUGGUGGUCUUUUCGCAUGGAGAGACUAGCAAAGCUGAGUUGCAAGACUUGGCGCCACAGGGGGGGCUCGCGGCCUAUCAGCUAGUUGGGGGGGUAAUGGCCCACCAAGGCGACGACGGGUAGCUGGUCUGAGAGGAUGGCCAGCCACAUUGGGACUGAGAGACGGCCCAGACUCCUACGGGAGGCAGCAGUGGGGAAUUUUGCGCAAUGGGGGAAACCCUGACGCAGCAACGCCGCGUGGAGGAUGAAGCCCUUGGGGCGUAAACUCCUUUCGACCAAGACGAUAAUGACGGUACUGGUGGAAGAGCGACCGGCUAACUCUGUGCCAGCAGCCGC
rnacentral:rRNA from 1 species